UUUAUUUAGAAUGAAAAACCAAUCAAAUCUAAUACUAUUUUUUGAAUCAAUAGCAUAAGUAUUUGAAAAAAAGGAAAUUACAUUCAGAUCUAUGACUGAUUCUAUCAGUACGGAAAACAUUAAAACGAGUCAGUCUUGAAGAAACCGCUGAGUUGAAAAGUUGUCACACAAAUUAUUUCCAAUCUAUUUGAAAAUGAAAAAAAAACUAAAAAAAUGUUAGAGUGAAUAAGUAAACUUAUAAAGUGGCAAAAAUCGUCAAGUGAUCGACAAAGAAAUUUGAUAAAGUGUUGGAAAUCGUUAGAUUGGUUCAAUCGAUCAUCCUGAUUGCAAGUCAUUGUUGAUUGGAAACGUCCGUGAGCAGAAGCUGGAAAAUUAUCACCAUAUCUGUUUUAUCGAACUACUUUUCUUCAAAAAUUCCAUCUAGGAGAGACCUAAAUAGUAUCAAGGACAAUCAUUGUCUUUUCCAUGGAAUUGG